GACAUGAGGUCAUGGAAGGUCGUGGAAGGUCCUGAAGGUGAGCAAAGCAAUUUGCAUGACAGCAAGAUGUUGCUAAGGAAGACAAAAGAUAGAAGCAACUGCCUACCUUGCCAACCACAUGCCUUCACAGAGGAGGUGAUGUCGGUGCUGGGUCUUGAAAGGUGGGGUUUCCCAGGUGGAGAGAGAGCAUGUGCAAAGGUCCAGUGGCACAAAAGGCCCCUGUGGGCUCAGAGAGAAGGAAAAAGCUUAGUGCUACUGAUGUGUAGAGGGGUGCAUGUGCUUGCAGGUGGGUGGGGAGGGUAUGGGGCAGGGAGCUGGGUGCAGUAGAGAGAGAUGAACCCAGAAAGUUGCCAGUAAUGAAGAUAACUAAGGUCAUUAAUGGGCAGGGAAGUGUCUGGUCAGGCUUGGGUUUUCAGGUAAUGAUUCUGGCUGCAAAGUGGAGACCAGAGAAGAGGAACAAUUAAAAUAAUUAACAUGUGUAGGUUUUUCUUUAAAAAAAAAAAAAAAGAAAGAAACAGCCAGGCAUUUUACAUGCCUAAUUUGAACCUCACAGCAACCGAGUGAAAUAGGCAUUAUUGGCUGGGCGCGGUGGUUCACGCCUGUAAUCCCAGCACUUUGGGAGGCCGAGGUGGGCAGAUCACUAGGUCAGGAGAUCGA
rnacentral:lncRNA from 10 species